ACAGACUCAGCAUAGGGAGGUCGUAAGGUUUAUCGCCUAUUACUAACAAGCUAGAGAAGUGAGAAACAAAAGAAACCAAAAGCACCUUUCCCCCCAUCCACCCUCUUCCACCUCUUCCCCUCGAGCGGCUCAGGGGAGCUGGGGUUAUGGGGAAUGGUUCCCUGCUGCU